rnacentral:rRNA from 1 species
GCGAUCAUACCAGCACCAAUGCACCGGAUCCCAUCAGAACUCCGCAGGUAAACGUGCUUGGGCGAGAUUAGUACUAGGAUGGGUGACCCCCCGGGAAGUCCUCGUGUUGCACCCA